GAAUAUGAUAAGAGGCAGGAUGUUUCUCACAGCCCGAACCCCCUGUGGAAUGUUUCACUUUGAUCAGGUUUUGUGAAAUGGUGGGGGGCUUCCAAAAUGGUGCAGUUUGGACUAACAGUUUCCUAAUUUGUCUUACCCUUAGGUCAAAGGCAGGAGAUAUAGACAGAAAAAAAAUGAGGGAACAUGUACUCUAAGUCCCCUCAAAACUCACACCUUUUAAUUUUGGGGCUUGGAAACCAACCAAUCAGAGCUCACCUGAAGCAACCAAUCAGAGUUCACCUUCCCUGGCCAAUCAGGGCUCAGCUGUAUCAACCAAUCAGGACUGAGCUGUGUUAACCAAUAAGAACUAAGUAAGUUUCACUCUUUCUUGGCAUCAACAUAGGUGAUAGGGAACCUGGGCAGAAACUUUUGCUUUAAAACCGGAGCCUUCCCUCUGUUCCCUGGAACACACCUUCAUUUUACAACAAAGAUUGUGUUUCUGUAGUUUGCAGCUGUUUGCUGGAAUAAAGUCUGUUUCCUUCACAUUCCUUUUCAGAUAAUUUUUUCUUUUCUUUUUUUUUGAGACAGAGUCUCACUCUGUCACCCAGGCUGGGGUGCAGUGGCGCCCUCUGGGCUCACUGCAACCUCUGCCUCCUGGGUUCAGGCAGUUCUCCUGCCUCUGCCUCCCAAGUAGCUGGGAUUACAGGUGUGUGCCACCAUGCCCGUAUAAUUUUUGUAUUUUUAGUAGAGACUGGAUUUCACCAUGUUGCCUAUGCUGGUCUUGAACUCCUGACCUCAGGUGAUCCACCUGCCUCAGCUUCCCAAAGUGCUGGUAUUACAGGCGUGAGCUACUGCACCCAGCCCUUUUCAGGAACUUUUGUUCACAAUGUUGUUGCAUUUAUUAGCAAUUCCUUUUUAACUCUAACAUUCCAUCAUACAGAUAUGCUAUAGUGUAUCCACUCACCAGUUCACAGACAUCUGAGUUGCUUCCAGGUUUGGCUUUUAUGAAUAAAAUCUCAAUGAAUGUUCAUCUGAAAAUGUUCGUGUGGAAACAACAACAGAACUGGUAAUUCCAUUAAAACGUAAGCAAAGGACAUGAAUAGACGUUUUUCAGAAGAAGACGUAGAAAUGGCCAACAGGUACAUUAAAAGAGCCAAACAUCACAAAUU
rnacentral:lncRNA from 1 species